UGACCUCUUCUACUCAGCAGGGCACUGGAAGAACCAACAAAUAAAGCAAAAAAACAUGAUUAGAGUGAAGGGAUGGAAUAAAACUGUAUUACUCACAGAUUACAAAACCGUGCAUGGAAAACCCCAAUUAAUAUAAAGAUCUAUUAUUCUAAUUUAAAAAGAAUGGAUCCUGUGUCACUAGAUACAUCAUCAAUACAUAUAAAUCAGCUGCACUUCAGACUCCCAGUUUGGACCAAGACAUCGUCCAAAGGGACCCUCAGCAUCUUGACAUCGGGCAGGACAUCACAUUUGUCCACAAUGUUGGCGACAUCUUGUUAAUUUGACCUGGUUUUGCUUUAUGUACUUCGAAGCUCUGCUGUUUUGUGUAUACACACUUAGGAUUACUAUGUCUUCC